rnacentral:rRNA from 1 species
AGCGAACGCUGGCGGCAGGCCUAACACAUGCAAGUCGAACGAACUCUUCGGAGUUAGUGGCGGACGGGUGAGUAACACGUGGGAACGUGCCUUUAGGUUCGGAAUAACUCAGGGAAACUUGUGCUAAUACCGAAUGUGCCCUUCGGGGGAAAGAUUUAUCGCCUUUGGAGGGGCCCGCGUGUGAUUAGCUAGUUGGUGGGGUAAUGGCUCACCAAGGCUACGAUCAGUAGCUGGUCUGAGAGGAUGACCAGCCAAAUUGGGACUGAGACACGGCCCAAACUCCUACGGGAGGCAGCAGUGGGGAAUCUUGCGCAAUGGGCGAAAGCCUGACGCAGCCAUGCCGCGUGGAUGAUGAAGGUCUUAGGAUUGUAAAAUCCUUUCACCGGUGAAGAUAAUGACUGUAGCCGGAGAAGAAGCCCCGGCUAACUUCGUGCCAGCCGCCGCCGUAACAC